rnacentral:rRNA from 1 species
CAGUCGCCGCGGGAAUACGUAGGUGGCAAGCGUUAUCCGGAAUUAUUGGGCGUAAAGCGCGCGUAGGCGGUUUCUUAAGUCUGAUGUGAAAGCCCACGGCUCAACCGUGGAGGGUCAUUGGAAACUGGGAAACUUGAGUGCAGAAGAGGAAAGUGGAAUUCCAUGUGUAGCGGUGAAAUGCGCAGAGAUAUGGAGGAACACCAGUGGCGAAGGCGACUUUCUGGUCUGUAACUGACGCUGAUGUGCGAAAGCGUGGGGAUCAAACAGGAUUAGAUACCCCUGUAGUCCCUGUCUCUUAUAC